CGACCACGGAGGCAUCAAGAAGCUCUCCAUUUAUUGACCCUCUUAGUAAUUUUGAUGAUGACUAAACAUUAAAGCAUGCAUUCACUAAUCUUUUUCGAGUUUUUCUAAGUUUAUUUGAUAGAAAGAGAGCUCUUUGAACAAGAAAAGGAAGAAACCAAGUGUAUUUAGUGGAGAGCCCAAGUGGGAUCAAAAUGGAGUUGAAAUCCAAUGAAAAUGGCCUAGGAAAGGGUUCG
rnacentral:lncRNA from 1 species